rnacentral:rRNA from 1 species
UACGGAGGAUCCAAGCGUUUAUCCGGAUUUAUUGGGUUUAAAGGGUGCGUAGGCGGCCUAUUAAGUCAGGGGUGAAAGACGGUAGCUUAACUAUCGCAGUGCCUUUGAUACUGAUGGGCUUGAAUGUACUUGAGGUAGGCGGAAUGUGACAAGUAGCGGUGAAAUGCAUAGAUAUGUCACAGAACACCAAUUGCGAAGGCAGCUUACUAAAAGUAUGAUUGACGCUGAGGCACGAAAAGCGUGGGGAUCAAACAGG